CUGAGGUCCUGGGGAUUGACAGAGGAAGUGAUGUCACUGUGGGAACCGCCCUGUGGAGACAAGGACGUCACUCAUCCUCUGCUCCUGCUCAUAGUGACACUGACCUGGUAAAACCCCCGUCCUGGCCUGACCCUGCCAUGGGCACCAGGCUCCUCUGCUGGGUGGUCCUGGGUUUCCUAGGGACAGAAUAUUCAGAUGCUGGAGUCAUUGGCAACAGAGAUGGCCAAGUAGCAACUAUUCUUCUGUGGCAACGAGAGACCCUGUAAAAAGGACAAUUUUGCUUUGGAGACUAAGCACCUCCACACCAGUCAGGAAUGACUCUGCUUUUACUUUAGGCUGAGAGGUCAGAAGGGUCAGAAUACUGAGGGUCAGAGGCCCUCAGUAUUCUCCUUUCCAAGACGGAGUAUGGCCACUCUCCAUCUCAGUCCCUGGAAGGUGUCCGGAGCUCCCUGAGAAUCCCUGCUCUGGGGCAGAAUCACCAAGGCUCAUCCUCGCCAGCUCCCCACAGGCUCCAGCAGGGCUUUCCUGCCAGGUGCAGGGCACAGGAAUGGUUCUAUCUGUCUCUUGGUUAGAGGGAGGCUAUGCAAUGAUGUUUGUAUAAGAGGGACUGGGAUUCUGGGUCUCCAUUAAAGUAUUUGAUAAUA
rnacentral:lncRNA from 1 species